GGGCGCUCUUUCCUUUCUGCCGGGGACCGUUGGGUGUUUUAAUUGCCAUCCCUCGGGAGUCGGCGUUGUUACUUUGAAAAAAUUAGAGUGUUCAAAGCAAGCCAUCGCUCUGAAUACAUUAGCAUGGAAUAACAUGAUAGGACUCCGCUCUUAUUUUGUUGGUUUCCGAGACUGGAGUAAUGAUUAAGAGGGACAGUCGGGGGCAUCCGUAUUUCAUUGUCAGAGGUGAAAUUCUUGGAUUUAUGAAAGACGAACUUCUGCGAAAGCAUUUGCCAAGGAUGUUUUCAUUAAUCAAGAACGAAAGUUGGGGGCUCGAAGAUGAUCAGAUACCAUCCUAGUCCCAACCAUAAACGAUGCCGACUAGGGAUUGGCGGAUGUUCCUUAGAUGACUCCGCCAGCACCUUAUGAGAAAUCAUUAAUUUUUUGGGUUCCGGGGGGAGUAUGGUCGCAAGGCUGAAACUUAAAGGAAUUGACGGAAGG
rnacentral:rRNA from 1 species